CUUCGGGGUCAGGGGAGGUCAGGAAGGGAGCAGGCGGGCAGUUACCCUGCACAGCGGCACCCUCUACUGGCAAGGCAGAAAAUGAUACCAGACAGCACCUCCCACCUCUCCCUCUUAAGUACAGGGGUGCAGGGGCAGGGUAAGGAGACAGAAGAAAGAGAACUAGCACAGUGUCACGUAGGGGCUGCAGAACUGAUUAACCCAGGCUCUCUUUAUACGUUUUUAAAUUUCAGAGAUUUGUUAGAGGACUGGCUGCAGAGAAGCAUAAACAUUUCAGGCAAAAAGGAAAAGAGCACUGAAGCUGGGAAUACACCGCAACACAGACAAUGAAUGCCUCACUGCUGCCGGCUCCAGGGCCAGCAGUGGAGAGGCACAGGCUGUUGGACCUUCAUCCCGCCAGGUGCUCUUUCCACAUCCUUCCUCGGGCCAACAAGGGGCAGGAAUGGAAAUACCCGGGACCCACAGGCAGCUGUGAUAACUGAUGUUAAGAGACCCGCAACAGGCAGUGUGUGAGCUCCGGCACGUACUUCUCAGCCUCACGGCUACUCCCCGGGCAGGUCGAGGCCCAAGGAAUGACCCAGCAACUGCUCCUUACCCAGCACACUCUCUUUACUGCCACCUGCAAUUACGCUGUGAAGAUGACUGGGUGUGGCCAUCAUGAUUCAGAGAAAUCAAGAUCUAUGACCAUUUUAGGCAAAGAGAGAAACCUGGAGAAUUGCUGAGGACUACUGAACCUUGUUUUGCUUUUUUAAAAAAUACUAAAUCCUCACUUCAGCAUAUUUAGUUGUCAUUAAAAUUAAGCUGAUAUUAUUAAGGGGUUCAUGAACUGAGGUGUCACUCACAAUUACUGCCUUCCAAGUAUUCAUGGGGUAGAUUUCAGUAAUUCUUGUUUGCUUCUGGCUUAGAAAUUGUCAGAAUGAUUUUUCUUUUAUACUUUCCAAUACUUGACUUAAUAUGCAUUUAGUGACUAUUCUGUUUUUUUCAAUAUACAGUUUACAAGAUGACAGAAGAAUCCCAGUUCUUAGGUUAGAAUUGGAUUUCUCCCUCUACAAUUACACAA
rnacentral:lncRNA from 1 species